UACGUAGGGGGCAAGCGUUGUCCGGAAUUAUUGGGCGUAAAGCGCGCGCAGGCGGUUCCUUAAGUCUGAUGUGAAAGGCCACAGCUCAACUGUGGAGGGCCAUUGGAAACUGGGGAACUUGAGGACAGAAGAGGAGAGCGGAAUUCCACGUGUAGCGGUGAAAUGCGUAGAUAUGUGGAGGAACACCAGUGGCGAAGGCGGCUCUCUGGUCUGUAACUGACGCUGAGGCGCGAAAGCAUGGGUAGCGAACAGG
rnacentral:misc_RNA from 1 species